rnacentral:rRNA from 1 species
AUUGAACGCUGGCGGCAUGCCUUACACAUGCAAGUCGAACGGCAGCACGGGUGCUUGCACCUGGUGGCGAGUGGCGAACGGGUGAGUAAUACAUCGGAACGUACCUUAUCGUGGGGGAUAACGCAGCGAAAGCUGUGCUAAUACCGCAUACGCCCUGAGGGGGAAAGCGGGGGAUCGAAAGACCUCGCGCGAUUAGAGCGGCCGAUGCCUGAUUAGCUUGUUGGUGGGGUAAAAGCCCACCAAGGCGACGAUCAGUAGCUGGUCUGAGAGGACGAUCAGCCACAGUGGGAAUGAGAGACGGCCCAGACUCCUUCGGGAGGCAGCAGUGGAGAAUUUUGGACAAUGGGGGCAACCCUGAUCCAGCAAUGCCGCGUGAGUGAAGAAGGCCUUCAGGUUGUAAAGCGCUUUUGUCAGGGAAGAAACACCGGCUCUAACACAGUCCGGGAAUGACGGUACCUGAAGAGUAAGCACCGGCUAACUACGUGCCAGCCGCCGCGGUAA